rnacentral:rRNA from 1 species
UACGUAGGUGGCAAGCGUUGUCCGGAAUUAUUGGGCGUAAAGCGCGCGCAGGCGGUCCUUUAAGUCAGGGGUGAAAGGCCAGGGCUCAACCUUGGAACUGCCUUUGAGACUGGAUCGCUUGAACACGGGAGAGGUGAGUGGAAUUCCGAGUGUAGAGGUGAAAUUCGUAGAUAUUCGGAAGAACACCAGUGGCGAAGGCGGCUCACUGGACCGUUGUUGACGCUGAGGUGCGAAAGCGUGGGGAGCAAACAGG